rnacentral:lncRNA from 1 species
CUAUAGAAUGACUCUCAGCUCAACUCGCGCACUGACUGUGCAAAUCUCUCCAGCACUCUGGGUGAGUACUUGGCUGCUGAUGUCCACAACGUCACUGCUCCCUUGUUAUCUGUACCCAAGCCAAGAAAUUUCAGGUUUGCUGCUAUACUUGUAGCACAGCAGCGGAUGAACAGAAGUAUGCUGCAUAAAGCUAAAAGAACAAGGAUAUGCUGCAUGGAACUGCUGAUUUGGUUAUGUAGUGGCACAAGGGAGGCACCAAGCAGCUCAGAGGCUUUCUCAUCCCCACCAAGGACCUGGGAGCUCUGACUGCAGAUUAGAACAGGGAAUUUCCUUGCCCAGAUCUGAGGGUUAUGAUCCAGCAGCAGUAGAGAGGUUACCUUGGGAUGGGCAGUGUCAUUCCUGUUCAGUUAACGCCCCACCUCCCUGAAAUCCUUCCAAACACUCCUCAGGAAUGACUUCAACCACUGUCU